CAAAGAUGACAGGAGUGGUGUAUAAAAUUCCCUGCCUAGGAUGUGACCUAAAGUACAUCGGUCAAACUAAACAACAACUUAAGAAGAGAAUUAUUCAACAUAGGAGUGAUAUAAAAAAAUCCAAAGAAGGUUUGUGCUCUUGCAGAACAUUGCCGAAAGACAGACCAUGUCAUGGGAUGGGACCUAGCAGAGGUACUGGAUGUGGAGAUGAAUUUGUACAAGAGAACAUUUUUGGAAAUGUAUCAUAUUAAAAAAUUAAAAGAAACAAUGAAUUCGAGAAGAGACAUUGAAGGGAUAAGCAAUAUUUAUAGUUAUAUUUUGUCGUAUAAUCAUGGUGAGACCAAUGGAUGAUUUGUUUCUGUGUAGUUUGUCAUUUUGUGUUUGUUCUAUGGUUUCAAUUAGAUAUGUCAGAUAUGUCAAAAAAAUCUAGAAUUGUUAAAACCUAUUUUUCUAAGGAAAUUGUUUGAUGGAUGAGUUUGUUAGAUGAAAAAAAAGUUUUUGAAGAUAAAUUUAAGUAUUGUUGUGUAUGCAUUGUUCAUCUCGGAGAACUUCUUGAGUGCCUUUUGAUGUACGUCUUUCCAACUGCUUCAGAGAAACUCAACUAUUCGAGUCCUGAUGAAGGAUCUGUAAAGAUCCGAAACGUCGACUAAGAAUAAAUGUAGUAUUCAGAA